CCAAGUGAUGAUCAAUGUACAAUUAUAGGGAAUUCCUCAUGCCGAAUACAAUAUGUGGAACCACUUGUUUCAGCCUUGUCUGAUU
rnacentral:snoRNA from 1 species